GCAGCUACCUGGUGACAGGAUGCGAAUCUCGAAAGCCGGUCUCAGUUCGGAUUGGAGGCUGAAACUCGCCUCCAUGAAGUUGGAUUCGCUAGUAAUCGCGCAUCAGCCAUGGCGCGGUGAAUACGUUCCCGGGCCUUGUACACACCGCCCGUCAAGCCAUGGGAGUUGGGGGUGCCUGAAGUACGUGACCGCAAGGAGCGUCCUAGGGCAAAACCGAUGACUGGGGCUAAGUCGUAACAAGGUAGC
rnacentral:rRNA from 1 species